rnacentral:rRNA from 1 species
UACGUAGGCAGCAAGCGUUGUUCGGAGUUACUGGGCGUAAAGGGUGUGUAGGCGGUUCUUUAAGUUUGGUGUGAAAUCUCCCGGCUCAACCGGGAGGGUGCGUCGAAUACUGAGGGACUAGAGUGCGGGAGAGGAAAGUGGAAUUCCUGGUGUAGCGGUGAAAUGCGUAGAUAUCAGGAGGAACACCGGUGGUGUAGACGGCUUUCUGGACCAUAGCUGACGCUGAGACACGAAAGCGUGGGUAGCAAACAGG